AACAUAUUCAAAUGUUAUAUCUUGAAGUAUAAUUCUAAUUUUUAAUCUAGUCUCUCUGUGAAUUUAAUAUGUAUUGUAUUCUAUGUACCACCAGUAUUAGUAGCUCUGUUUGAAUAACGUUUGUUCCUUUGUUUUUACAAUUAUAAUAUCAACAAUCAAAAUACAACUAAAUAUUACAAGAUCAAUAAUAUAUUACUAUAUGAUAAAAGCUGUACAGAAUUUAAACAUGAUUAACGUUAUGAAAGUUACCAACACUUCCCAACGACAUCAUUGUCAGUGAGUUGGCAGUCCCGGCUCGCGACCUCGCUUGCCACUCCCUCUUCAGAACUCGUACGAAAGCAUUGCGAAAUUCCAUAUUCAGCCAAAAAUAUAUGACCGGGUUCAUGAAUGAAUUACAAAAUGUCAAAAUUUUUACCAUUGCGCCAAAGAUGUCUUUGUGUCGUUGAAACGAGCCGUCGAACCACUGAGGGUGAAUGCUUUGAAAAAAAUAGUAAAAUGUGGAUGGACCCCAACAAAUGAUAAACACGCCGAUUACCACAGAAAAACUGAUAGUUGCUUUUCUUUCUAUUUUCCAUUUUUCUGCUCGUAUCACCGUUUUUCUUCGAAGGUGGUUUGGCGUUGAUGACUGAAAUAUAAAUGAUAGAAUUUAG
rnacentral:lncRNA from 1 species